GGCGAACGGGUGAGUAACACGUAGAUAACCAACCCUUAUGACGAGGAUAACCCGGGGAAACCUGGACUAAUACUGGAUAGGAGCUAAUUUCACAAGAGGUAGUUUUAAAGGCGCCUCAAAGCGCCGCAAGAGGAUGGGACUACGUCGCAUUAGCUAGUUGGUGGGGUAACGGCCUACCAAGGCAACGAUGCGUAGCUGGGCUGAGAGGCCGAACAGCCACACUGGGACUGAGACACGGCCCAGACUCCUACGGGAGGCAGCAGUAGGGAAUUUUCGGCAAUGGGGGGAACCCUGACCGAGCAAUGCCCGCGUGAAUGAAGAAGGUCUUCGGACUGUAAAGUUCUGUUAUCGGGAAAGAAGGUAUAUACCAGGAAAUGGGUAUAUAUUGACGGUACCCAAUUAGAAAGCCCCGGCUAACUACGUGCCAGCCGCUGC
rnacentral:rRNA from 1 species